GCAAGUCGAGCGGGGUUUAUCGGAUUAGCUUGCUAAACUGAUAAACCUAGCGGCGGACGGGUGAGUAACGCGUGAGCAAUCUGCCUCAUACAGGGGGAUAACAGGUGGAAACACCUGCUAAUACCGCAUAAGACUCCACUACCGCAUGGUAGAGAAGUCAAAGGGAUUACCGGUAUGAGAUGAGCUCGCGUCCCAUUAGCUAGUUGGUAGGGUAAAGGCCUACCAAGGCGACGAUGGGUAGCCGACCUGAGAGGGUGAUCGGCCACACUGGGACUGAGACACGGCCCAGACUCCUACGGGAGGCAGCAGUGGGGAAUAUUGCACAAUGGAGGGAACUCUGAUGCAGCAACGCCGCGUGAGUGAAGAAGGUUUUCGGAUCGUAAAACUUUGUCAUUGGGGAAGAAUAAAUGACGGUACCCAAUGAGGAAGCCCCGGCUAACUACGUGCCAGCAGCCGCGGUAAUACCUAGGGGGCAAGCGUUGUCCGGACUUACUGGGCGUAAAGGGUACGUAGGCGGCUAUAUAAGUCAGGUGUGAAAUUCCAGUGCUUAACACGGGAAUUGCAUUUCAAAACCCGUAGCCAUAGUUCAUGAGAGGAACCUGGACUUCCUCGUGUGGCUAUGAACACGCGAGCCAAUCGAGGAACACCAGUGGCGAAGGCGACUUUCUGGCCUGUCAAUACGCUGAGGUACGAAAGCCCGGGUUUCGAACAGGAUUCGUUACCUUUAUAGCACACGCCUCAAACGAUGGACACCAGGUGUCGGGGGGCCAUCCCCCCCCUGUGCCCGAGUUAACCCAAUAAGUAUCCCUCCUGGGGAGUACGGUCGCAAGCAUCAAACUCCAAGGAAUUGAUGG
rnacentral:rRNA from 1 species